UCCGCGAAAUAACAUUUUGAAAUCGUUGAAAGUCGUUACUCACAUUUCAUGAGCUGCGCACCUUAGUUUGUGAAUUUUCUGCAAUGUUAAACUCACAGCCACACUUUCCCAUUUCAGAGAACCCAGAUGACAUCGACGUUUUGACGCCUGCUUACUUUCUCAUUUGGUCUACAUUUACCUCAAUGGACGAACCUGACGUCUGACAUGUGUGCCAAAUGCAGCAAAUAUUCCGGCGCAAAUGGAGCACCAUCAACUUUUCGUUGCUGCAGGAGCGAAGCAAAUGGCAAAGGGCAACGAGGAAGUUAACUGUCCUGCCCCUUGAAACCACUUCACUUCGAAGUAUGGCUCUUCCAACGGGGGGAGCAUGUCAGGAGCAAUCACUUAAUUGAAAUAAAAUCACUGAUUGCUUGUUAUUUGGUCAGCAUCACUGACAACAAGAAUGUAAACAAAGGAUUCCUGAAUUAUCUAUUUUGUAUGCGUGCACGUAUGGAUAAGCUGAGAUAAGCGCAUUCAGUCGCUGAUCUCCGCUCAUCUUGCAUUCGCUCGUUAUCGUUUUCGGAACUCAGUCGCAUCGCUGCAGAAAUAAACACUUACAUAAAAACAAAAACUCUCAGCUUUUUAUUCAGCACUGUUCCGGCAUCGCAUACGUUUUGUUAAAAAUUCGCUUUAAAAGGUGUCAUAAAUUAAUGCCACCUUGAAACACUCGUUAAUGGCCGUUUUGGGUGCUAGAUUCCCAAAAUGGAAGACACUAUCCGCCAGCUCAUGGCAAAGGAAGUGUACAACACACAUCCGCUAAGGAACAUCAUGAAAACUAGUAAUGACUUAAUGUAGUUUGAAAAUGCCAUUAGGACUGGAAAUCUCGCACAAAUAUCAGAUCUAACACUAGUAGCGGGACACAUCAAGCGAACGCAGGCAGCAAUCAUCAACGUCGUGACCGAACUAAAAAGGCGUAUAGUUGACCCUGCAUUAGUCCCCAGAACCCAGAUGACAUCGACGUUUUGACGCCUGCUUACUUUCUCAUUUGGUCUACAUUUACCUCAAUGGACGAACCUGACGUCUGACAUGUGUGCCAAAUGCAGCAAAUAUUCCGGCGCAAAUGGAGCACCAUCAACUUUUCGUUGCUGCAGGAGCGAAGCAAAUGGCAAAGGGCAACGAGGAAGUUAACUGUCCUGCCCCUUGAAACCACUUCACUUCGAAGUAUGGCUCUUCCAACGGGGGGAGCAUGUCAGGAGCAAUCACUUAAUUGAAAUAAAAUCACUGAUUGCUUGUUAUUUGGUCAGCAUCACUGACAACAAGAAUGUAAACAAAGGAUUCCUGAAUUAUCUAUUUUGUAUGCGUGCACGUAUGGAUAAGCUGAGAUAAGCGCAUUCAGUCGCUGAUCUCCGCUCAUCUUGCAUUCGCUCGUUAUCGUUUUCGGAACUCAGUCGCAUCGCUGCAGAAAUAAACACUUACAUAAAAACAAAAACUCUCAGCUUUUUAUUCAGCACUGUUCCGGCAUCGCAUACGUUUUGUUAAAAAUUCGCUUUAAAAGGUGUCAUAAAUUAAUGCCACCUUGAAACACUCGUUAAUGGCCGUUUUGGGUGCUAGAUUCCCAAAAUGGAAGACACUAUCCGCCAGAUCAUGGCAAAGGAAGUGUACAACACACAUCCGCUAAGGAACAUCAUGAAAACUAGUAAUGACUUAAUGUAGUUUGAAAAUGCCAUUAGGACUGGAAAUCUCGCACAAAUAUCAGAUCUAACACUAGUAGCGGGACACAUCAAGCGAACGCAGGCAGCAAUCAUCAACGUCGUGACCGAACUAAAAAGGCGUAUAGUUGACCCUGCAUUAGUCCCCAGAACCCAGAUGACAUCGACGUUUUGACGCCUGCUUACUUUCUCAUUUGGUCUACAUUUACCUCAAUGGACGAACCUGACGUCUGACAUGUGUGCCAAAUGCAGCAAAUAUUCCGGCGCAAAUGGAGCACCAUCAACUUUUCGUUGCUGCAGGAGCGAAGCAAAUGGCAAAGGGCAACGAGGAAGUUAACUGUCCUGCCCCUUGAAACCACUUCACUUCGAAGUAUGGCUCUUCCAACGGGGGGAGCAUGUCAGGAGCAAUCACUUAAUUGAAAUAAAAUCACUGAUUGUUUGUUAUUUGGUCAGCAUCACUGACAACAAGAAUGUAAACAAAGGAUUCCUGAAUUAUCUAUUUUGUAUGCGUGCACGUAUGGAUAAGCUGAGAUAAGCGCAUUCAGUCGCUGAUCUCCGCUCAUCUUGCAUUCGCUCGUUAUCGUUUUCGGAACUCAGUCGCAUCGCUGCAGAAAUAAACACUUACAUAAAAACAAAAACUCUCAGCUUUUUAUUCAGCACUGUUCCGGCAUCGCAUACGUUUUGUUAAAAAUUCGCUUUAAAAGGUGUCAUAAAUUAAUGCCACCUUGAAACACUCGUUAAUGGCCGUUUUGGGUGCUAGAUUCCCAAAAUGGAAGACACUAUCCGCCAGAUCAUGGCAAAGGAAGUGUACAACACACAUCCGCUAAGGAACAUCAUGAAAACUAGUAAUGACUUAAUGUAGUUUGAAAAUGCCAUUAGGACUGGAAAUCUCGCACAAAUAUCAGAUCUAACACUAGUAGCGGGACACAUCAAGCGAACGCAGGCAGCAAUCAUCAACGUCGUGACCGAACUAAAAAGGCGUAUAGUUGACCCUGCAUUAGUCCCCAGAACCCAGAUGACAUCGACGUUUUGACGCCUGCUUACUUUCUCAUUUGGUCUACAUUUACCUCAAUGGACGAACCUGACGUCUGACAUGUGUGCCAAAUGCAGCAAAUAUUCCGGCGCAAAUGGAGCACCAUCAACUUUUCGUUGCUGCAGGAGCGAAGCAAAUGGCAAAGGGCAACGAGGAAGUUAACUGUCCUGCCCCUUGAAACCACUUCACUUCGAAGUAUGGCUCUUCCAACGGGGGGAGCAUGUCAGGAGCAAUCACUUAAUUGAAAUAAAAUCACUGAUUGUUUGUUAUUUGGUCAGCAUCACUGACAACAAGAAUGUAAACAAAGGAUUCCUGAAUUAUCUAUUUUGUAUGCGUGCACGUAUGGAUAAGCUGAGAUAAGCGCAUUCAGUUGCUGAUCUCCGCUCAUCUUGCAUUCGCUCGUUAUCGUUUUCGGAACUCAGUCGCAUCGCUGCAGAAAUAAACACUUACAUAAAAA